ensembl:lncRNA
ACCAUAAGUCACUCUGUUUCCCUUUUAUUGUUUCGGAUACUUCACAUGACAUAUUACAUCAAUAUCUAAAUGAGUACAAAUGAGUAGACCAGCAGUAAGCAGACUCGAUAAACAAUUAAAAAGUAGUGCCAUAAAACACAAACUACGUACAACCUUUGAGAGUCUUUCAUGUUAUUACCAGGUGCAUUUGUAAAAACAGUUAUAUUUAUGCUCAUGUUAUGUCAGCAGAAUAAACACAGAGCUUCUCAGUGUACUUCAAUCCCAAAUAGUUACAGAUUAUCACCAGGGUCAUACAAUAGCUUUGAGAAAAGAACAAAAGUGAUAGUUAAAAUAUCAUAACAUUAUAAAUAUAUGAAAUAAAUAACAGGUUAAUAAGUUACAAUAAGGAUAAUAAAUUACGUUCCUUACAAUCCAUCAAGUUCGUAAAUAACUCACUAUGUGUACAACAUGUAAAUGUGGGUUCUUCUUAGUCUCUUGUUCCAGUCCACUUAAUAAUUCCACAGAACUGCUGUAACAACUGCAACAACUAAAUAGAAACUUGUCCUGUUGAUGACUGCAGAGGAAGCUGUGGUGGUGGUUGUUGUUGCAAAUGUAGACGGAGCUGCUGUUGUCAUUGCGGCUGCUGAUAUUGUUGUUGGGUUGGCUGUUGUUGCCGGUGCGGUUGGUGUUGUUGCAGCAGCAAUUGUCAUUGUUGCGGAUGAUGUUGUUGUAGGUGCUGUGGUUAUUUGUGGGGUGUUCGUGGUUGUUGACGGUGCUACUGUAGUUGUUGCAGCUGGCACAGUAGUUGUUGCGGCUGCUACUGUAGUUGCUGCGGGUGCAGCUGUAGUUGUUAGAGCUGCUGUAGUUGUGGCUGGGGCUCUUGUUGUGGUUGCUGCUGCUGCUGUUGGGUUGGCUGUGGUUGUUGCAGCUACCACUGUAGUCAUUGAUGGUGCAGGUGUAGUUGUUAGAGCUGCUGUAGUUGUGGCUGGGGCAUUUGUGGUGGUUGCUGCUGCUGCAGUUGUUGCUGCUGCUACUGUAGUUAUUGCACCUGGUACUGUAGUUGUUGUGGCUACCACUGUAGUUGUUGCGGCUGCUACUGUUGAGGUUGUUACUGUAGUUGUUGCAGGUGCAGCUGUAUUUGUUAGAGCUGCUGUAGUUGUGGCUGGGGCAUCUGUGGUGGCUGCUGCUCCUGCAAUUGUUGUGGUUGCUGCUGUUGUUGUCGGGUUUACUGUAGUUGAGGCGGCUGGUACCGUAGUUGUUGCGGCUACCACUGUAGUUGUAGCAGCUGCUACUGUAGUUGUAGCGGCUGCUACUGUAGUUGCUGCGGGUGCAGCUGUAGUUGUUAGAGCUGCUGUAGUUGUGGCUGGGGCAUUUGUGGUGGUUGCUGCUGCUGCAGCUGUUGCUGCUGCUACUGUAGUUAUUGCAGCUGUAGUUGGUGUGGCUACCAAUGUAGUUGUUGCGGCUGCUACUGUAGUUGUUGCAGGUGCAGCUGUAGUUGUUAGAGCUGCUGUAGUUGUGGCUGGGGCAUCUGUGGUGGCUGCUGCUCCUGCAGUUGUUGUGGUUGCUGCUGUUGUUGUCGGGUUUACUGUAGUUGUUGCGGCUGGUACCGUAGUUGUUGCGGCUACCACUGUAGUUGUAGCAGCUGCUACUGUAGUUGUAGCGGCUGCUACUGUAGUUGCUGCGGGUGCAGCUGUAGUUGUUAGAGCUGCUGUAGUUGUGGCUGGGGCAUGCUGUGGUGGUCGCUGCCACUGCAGUUGUUGUUGGGUUGGCUGUAGUUGUUGUGGCUACCACUGUAGUUGUUGCGGAUGCUGCUGUAGUUGUUUCAGCUGGUACUGUAGUUGCUGCUGCUGCAGUUGUUGAAGGUGCUGCUAUGGUUGUUGCAGCUGGUACUGUAGUUGUUGCUGCUGCUGCAGUUGUGCAGGUGCAGCUGUAGUUGUUAGAGCUGCUGUAGUUGUGGCUGGGGCAUCUGUGGUGGCUGCUGCUCCUGCAGUUGUUGUGGUUGCUGCUGUUGUUGUCGGGUUUACUGUAGUUGUUGCGGCUGGUACCGUAGUUGUUGCGGCUACCACUGUAGUUGUAGCAGCUGCUACUGUAGUUGUAGCGGCUGCUACUGUAGUUGCUGCGGGUGCAUCUGUAGUUGUUAGAGCUGCUGUAGUUGUGGCUGGGACAUCUGUGGUGGUCGCUGCCACUGAAGUUGUUGUUGGGUUGGCUGUAGUUGUUGUGGCUACCACUGUAGUUGUUGCGGAUGCUGCUGUAGUUGUUUCAGCUGGUACUGUAGUUGCUGCUGCUGCAGUUGUUGCAGAUGCUGCUAUGGUUGUUGCAGCUGGUACUGUAGUUGUUGCUGCUGCUGCAGUUGUUGCAGGUGCAGCUGUAGUUGUUAGAGCUGCUGUAGUUGUGGCUGGGGCAUCUGUGGUGGCUGCUUCUCCUGCAAUUGGUGUGGUUGCUGCUGUUGUUGGGUUUACUGUAGUUGUUGUGGCUGGUACCGUAGUUGUUGCGGCUACCACUGUUGUUGUUGUGGCUGCUACUGUAGUUGUAGCGGCUGCUACUGUAGUUGCUGCGGGUGCAGAUGUAGUUGAUAGAGCUGCUGUAGUUGUGGCUGGGGCUCUUGUUGUGGUUGCUGCUGCUGUAGUUGUGGCUGGGGCAUCUGUGGUGGCUGCUCCUGCAAUUGUUGUGGUUGCUGCUGUUGUUGGGUUUACUGUAGUUGUUGUGGCUGGUACCGUAGUUGUUGCGGCUACCACUGUUGUUGUUGUGGCUGCUACUGUAGUUGUAGCGGCUGCUACUGUAGUUGCUGCUGCAGCAGAUGUAGUUGAUAGAGCUGCUGUAGUUGUGGCUGCUGCUCUUGUUGUUGUUGCUGCUGCUGUUGUUGUUUUGGCUGUAGUUGUUGCAGCUGCCACUGUAGUCAUUGAUGGUGCAGGUGUAGUUGUUAGAGCUGCUGUAGUUGUGGCUGGGGCAUUUGUGGUGGUUGCUUCAGCUACUGUAGUUAUUGCAGCUGGUACUGUAGUUGUUGCGGCUACCCCUGUAGUUGUUGUGGCUGAUACUGUAGUUGUAGCGGCUGCUACUGUAGUUGCUGCAGGUGCAGCUGUAGUUGUAAGAGCUGCUGUAGUUGUGGCUGGGGCAAUUGUUGUGGUCGCUGCUGCUGUUGUUGGGUUUGCUGUAGUUGUUGCGGCUGCUACUGUGGUUGUUGCAGCUGGUACUGUAGUGGUUGCAGCUGGUGGUGUAGUUGUUACAGUUGGUAUUGUAGUCGUUGCUGGUGUAGGUGUAGUUGUUAGAGCUGCUGUAGUUGUGGCUGGGGCAUUUGUGGUGGUUGCUGCUGCUGCUGUUGUUGUUGGGUUUGCUGUAACUGUUGCGGCUGCUACUGUGGUUGUUGCGUCUGGUACUGUAGUCGUCGCGGCUGCUCCUGUAGUUACUGCAGAUGCUGCUGUAGUUGUUGCAGCUGGUACUGUAGUUGUUGCUGGUGCUGCAGUUGUUGCAGGUGCAGCUGUAGUUGUUGCGGCUGCAACUGAAGUCGUCGCGGCUGCUCCUGUAGUUAUUUCAGCUGGUACUGUAGUUGCUGCUGCUGCAGUUGUUGCGGAUGCUGCUGUAGUUGUUGCUGCUGCUGCAGUUGUUGCAGGUGCAGCUGUAGUUUCAGCUGGUCGUGUAGUUGUUGCUGCUGCUGCAGUUGUUGCGGAUGCUGCUAUAGUUGUUGCAGCUGGUACUGCAGUUGUUGCAGAUGCUGAUGUAGAUGUUGCAGCUGGUACUGUAGUUGUUAAAGGUGCAGCUGUAGUUGUUGCGGCUGCAACUGAAGUCGUCACGGCUGCUCCAGUAGUUGUUGCGGAUGCUGCUGUAGUUGUUUCAGCUGGUACUGUAGUUGUUGCUGCUGCUGCAGUUGUUGGUAGGUUAGCUGUAGUUGUCGCGGAUGCUACUUUAGUUGUUCCAGCUGGUACUGUAGUUGUUGUGGCUGCCACUGUUGUUGCAGUUGCAGCUGUAGUUGUUAGAGCUGCUGUGGUGGUUGCUGCUGCUGGGUUGGCUGUGGUUGUUUCCGCUGCUACUGUAGUUGUUGCGGCUGGUACUGUAGUUGUUGUGGCUACCACUGUAGUUGUUGCGGCUGCUACUAUAGUUGUUGCAGGUGCAGCUGUAGUUGUUAGAGCUGCUGUAGUUGUGGCUGUGGCAUCUGUGGUGGCUGCUUCUCCUGCAAUUGGUGUGGUUGCUGCUGUUGUUGUUGGGGUUGCUGUAGUUGUUGCGGCUACCACUGCUGUUGUUGUGGCUGCUACUGUAGUUGUAUCGGCUGCUACUGUAGAUGCUGCGGAUGCAGCUGUAGUUGUAAGAGCUGCUGUAGUUGUUGGCUGGGGCAAAUGGUUGUGAUUGCUGCUGCUGUUGUUGUUGGGUUUGCUGUAGUUGUUGCGGCUGCUACUGUGGUUGUUGCGGCUGGUACUGUAGUGGUUGCAGCUGGUACUGUAGUUGUUGUGGCUGCCACUGUAGUUGUUACAGUUGGUACUGUAGUCGGUGCUGGUGCAGGUUUAGUUGUUAGAGCUGUUGUAGUUGUGGCUGGGUGCAUCUGUGGUGGUCGCUGCCACUGAAGUUGUUGUUGGGUUGACUGCAGUUGUUGUGGCUACCACGGUAGUUGUUGCGGAUGCUGAUGUAGUUGUUUCAGCUGGUACUGUAGUUGCUGCUGCUGCAGUUAUUGCGGAUGCUGCUGUAGUUGUUGCAGCUGGUACUGUAGUUGUUGCUGCAGUUGUUGCAGAUGCUGCAGUAGUUGUUUUAGCUGGUACUGUAGUUGUUGCUGCUGCUGCAGUUGUUGCAGGUGCAGCUGUAGUUGUUGGGGCUGCAACUGAAGUCGUCGCGGCUGCUCCUGUAGUUGUUGCGGAUGCUGCUGUAGUUGUUUCAGCUGGUCGUGUAGUUGUUGCUGCUGCUGCAGUUGUUGCGGAUGCUGCUGUAGUUGUUGGAGCUGGUACUGCAGUUGUUGCAGAUGCUGCUGUAGUUGUUGCAGCUGGUACUGUAGUUGUUUCUGCUGCUGCAGUUGUUGCAGGUGCAGCUGUAGUUGUUGCGGCUGCAACUGAAGUCGUCGCGGCUGCCGCUGCAGUUGUUGCGGAUGCUGCUGUAGUUGUUGCUGCUGCUGCAGUUGUUGCAGGUGCAGCUGUAGUUGUUGCGGCUG